AGAGUUUGAUCCUGGCUCAGGACGAACGCUGGCGGCGUGCAUAACACAUGCAAGUUGAACGAGAAAUCUUNUCGGAAUUCUUCGACGGNAAGAGGAGAUGGAAAGUAGCGGACGGGUGAGUAACGCGUGAGAAACCUGCCUCACACAAGGGAAUAGCCAUUGGAANCGUGAUUUAAUACCNUUAUGACAUGGACGCUUCGCAUGGAGCAGCCAUUUAAAGUGUUAGCGGUGUGAGAUGUUCUCGCGUCUGAUUAGCUAGUUGGUGAGAUAUNAGCUCACCAAGGCGACGAUCAGUAGCCGGCUUGAGAGAGUGAACGGCCACACUGGAACUGAGACACGUCCCAGACUCCUACGGGAGGCAGCAGUGGGAAUAUGNNCACAAUGGAGGAAACUCUGAUGCAGCGACGCCGCGUGAGCGAAGAAGGCCUUCGGGUUGUAAAGCUCUGUCCUUGGUGAAGAUAAUGACGGUAGCCAAGGAGGAAGCCCCGGCUAACUACGUGCCAGCAGCCGCGGUAAUACGUAGGGGGCGAGCGUUGUCCGGAAUUAUUGGGCGUAAAGGGUACGUAGGCGGUUUUUUAAGUCAGCAGUUAAAGCGCGGGGCUCAACCCCGUAAAGCUGUUGAAACUGGAGAACUUGAGAGAUGGAGAGGAAAGUGGAAUUCCUAGUGUAGCGGUGAAAUGCGUAGAUAUUAGGAGGAAUACCGGUGGCGAAGGCGACUUUCUGGACAUCAACUGACGCUGAGGUACGAAAGCGUGGGGAGCAAACAGGAUUAGAUACCCUGGUAGUCCACGCCGUAAACGAUGAGUGCUAGGUGUCGGGGGUCAAACCUCGGUGCCGUCGUUAACACAGUAA
rnacentral:rRNA from 1 species